UGGGGAAUAUUGCACAAUGGGGGGAAACCCUGAUGCAGCGACGCCGCGUGAAGGAAGAAGUAUCUCGGUAUGUAAACUUCUAUCAGCAGGGAAGAUAAUGACGGUACCUGACUAAGAAGCCCCGGCUAACUACGUGCCAGCAGCCGCGGUAAUACGUAGGGGGCAAGCGUUAUCCGGAUUUACUGGGUGUAAAGGGAGCGUAGACGGCGAUGCAAGUCUGAAGUGAAAUACCCGGGCUCAACCUGGGAACUGCUUUGGAAACUGUAUGGCUAGAGUGCUGGAGAGGUAAGCGGAAUUCCUAGUGUAGCGGUGAAAUGCGUAGAUAUUAGGAAGAACACCAGUGGCGAAGGCGGCUUACUGGACAGUAACUGACGUUCAGGCUCGAAAGCGUGGGGAGCAAACAGGAUUAGAUACCCUGGUAGU
rnacentral:rRNA from 1 species